rnacentral:rRNA from 1 species
AGUGAACGCUGGCGGUAGGCCUAACACAUGCAAGUCGAACGGCAGCACAGUAAGAGCUUGCUCUUACGGGUGGCGAGUGGCGGACGGGUGAGGAAUACAUCGGAAUCUACUUCUUCGUGGGGGAUAACGUAGGGAAACUUACGCUAAUACCGCAUACGACCUACGGGUGAAAGCAGGGGAUCUUCGGACCUUGCGCGAUUGAAUGAGCCGAUGUCGGAUUAGCUAGUUGGCGGGGUAAAGGCCCACCAAGGCGACGAUCCGUAGCUGGUCUGAGAGGAUGAUCAGCCACACGGAAGCGGAGACACGGUCCAGACCCCACGGGAGGGCACCGGGGGGAAAUAUGGAACAAGGGGCGCAAGCUGAACCCAGCAUUACGGCGGGGGGAAAGAAGGCCUUGGGGUUGAAAACCCCUUUUGUGGGGAAAAAAAGGCAGCGGGUUAAUACCCCGCGGUUCUAACGUAACCCAAAGAAUAAACACCGGCUAACUUGGG